AAAUUAUUGCUUUAUAAGAUUGAAGUUAAUCGCGUUCUCGAUCUAUACAGUUUACAGAUUAGGGUUGAUAAUUUACUGCGUAACGGUACGAAUGUGACGUCAUUAUAGAUGUUUACUUCAUCUGGAUCUUUCAGCCAAGUUCACCACGAGCUAUCUACAUCAAUCCGCUUUAUAAUUGGUUAUUCGGAUGCAUCACGUGCCGGUAAGUAACCAAUCGGCGCUUGCCAUCAUCCGCACAAAGACGGUCAGCCAUUUUGGAAGAAAGAGAGGUCGAAGGGACUCGAGUAUUCGAACACUCUUACUUUUCAACUACCGAAAAUGGAAGAUUCUCAACAAGUAACUAUAGCAACGGCCCAAUUGGAAGUAGAAGGAAAUUCAACCACUUUGGGAAUUCGUCGACCCUUCGAUCCGGUUGCUCACGAUCUAGAUCCCACCUUCCGUUUGACGAAAUUCGCCGAGUUGAAAGGAUGAGGGUGUAAAGUCCCCCAGGAUGUUUUAUUAAAACUCCUGGAGGGACUGACCCAAGACGGAAAUUCUCAA